UUCAAUCGCUUGUGAACAGCUUAAUGAAACUUACAAAAACGAGACCCUCUCCGACUUCCUAGGUGGUCUAUGAAAGCCUGUAGACUGAUUUUUAUGUGAAGGACUCGGGACGGUUUUGCCGGGAAAAUCAAAAGGAUGCGACGGUUACGCGCGCUCCCGAGAGCCUUUCUUCCGUCCAAUUGCACUUGAAAUGAACGCUUAUAUAAUAUUCAGAACAAUGCCGAAAGAGCCAUUUUGUAAGUUGAAGGAAAGCACGCAGCACACAUCUAAACGUCGCUCUCAGCGGUGUGGACGGUGUCUGGAUGUUAGGCUAACAGUAAAUCGCCAUUAACCGCAAAGUAUGAAGUAAGUCAUACAGGUUUGGAAGGACAUGAGGGUGA